CCAGACUCCUACGGGAGGCAGCAGUGGGGGAUAUUGCACAAUGGGGGGAACCCUGAUGCAGCGACGCCGCGUGGGCGAGGGAGCGCCUCGGCGCGUAAAGCCCUUUCGGCGGGGGAGAACGAUGACGGUACCCGACUAAGAAGCCCCGGCUAACUACGUGCCAGCAGCCGCGGUAAUACGUAGGGGGCAAGCGUUAUCCGGAUUUACUGGGUGUAAAGGGAGCGUAGGCGGUGCAGCAAGUCAGAAGUGAAAGCCCGGGGCUCAACUCCGGGACUGCUUUUGAAACUGUUGAACUAGAUUGCAGGAGAGGUAAGUGGAAUUCCUAGUGUAGCGGUGAAAUGCGUAGAUAUUAGGAGGAACACCAGUGGCGAAGGCGGCUUACUGGACUGUAAAUGACGCUGAGGCUCGAAAGCGUGGGGAGCAAACAGGAUUAGAUACCCUGGUAA
rnacentral:rRNA from 1 species